AUGGCAAUCCCUAACUUUUUCUCAUAAUUUUUCAAUUAAUCGUGAAUAAAUGAAUUACUAAUUAAUUAAACAAUUAAAGGUGUUCAUAUUCCUAACAUCAAAAAACUACCAAGAGUAAAACAGUAAGAUCAGUAAAAAAAGAUUGACACUAAGGGGAUUGCAAUAUGUUUUAAAAUAUCGGAGGAGUUUCGAUCAGUUUUGUUGAACGGCAGAAAGAUUUUGCUCUUUUUCUCUGGCUGAUGUGUCUAUAACUUCCAAAUGUGGUUAAUAAAUUAAUUUAUCUUAAUAGUAACUAAAUCGCCAUCUUAGUCAUAUAAGUGGGCUUUGUAUAUCAUGAAAUCAAUAGUGAAACAACAAAAUAUAGCUGCUCCAAUUUCAAAUUUCUCUUUCUUACAAUUUCUUUGUUGACAUCAAGAGUUAUUAGCCCGAGUUCUACUAACAUGCAAACCUUCCUAGGCGAGACUUUCGAUUGAUAAAUUGAGAAAUAUCAUACAUCCAUGACUAAAUUAAAUUAGAGUCUAAUAGAUUAUUUUGCAAUCAACUAGAUAAUGAUUCAGAUUUUUUUUUUCAAAUUGUGUUCAUGUCCUCGUAUGAUUUCUUUGUCCUGUAAGAAUCCAACGCCUGUGUUUUAAUUUGACCCUCACAUAUCUUUAAAGAAACGAUACAGUUACAAAAACAAUUAAUGUCAUCAAUUUUCAGGACCUCUUGAGUUAAAGUCAAGUUUUAGAUUAUGAUCCCUUGACUCGAAAAGUAUCAUAGAAGAUUUCAAAAUGUCAUGGGAUAAAUAUGUUGCUCAGCAAUCCGUGCUAUACUUAGACAACUUCUACAAUUGUCAUUAGUUUUCUUCCCGUUCUAGCCAACUUUGUUAUCUAGGAGGUAUCUCCACUUCACUAAAUACUCAUUGUAAGCUGGUACACUCCUUAUUCGAGUGACCCGAUUGGUAAGGAUGCAUUCCACAUCUUCGUUAAACACAGAGACAAUGGCGAUUAGGGCACGUCUUGACUCUCCCAACUUGGGUCUCCUACAUCUCCGUGAUACAACUUGAGCAGACUUACAUGGAAGACCAGAUGAAUAUUAAGUCUUGGCGGAAGUUGGAGUUGAUAUAGGACAUUGUCCACAUGUCGGACAAUUGAUAAGGACCCUUCAUAUCUCCUUACUAGCCCCUUGAGGACUUUCUGCAAAGUCUUAAACUGCUGGGGUAGGAGCUUGAUCAUGACUUGAUCGCAUUCCUUGUACUCGACAUGGCGUCUCUUUAAGUUAGCUCACUUUUUCAUCUUCCGUGUGGCUUUGCCAAGAUAUGCUCACGUGAUGUCCACUUUCUCAUGCCAUUUACAUGUGGCUUGUAAGCCGUAGGGCUUUUCCCUCUGUAUGUUUAGGCUAUGGCAUUGUGCAUCAUGGGCUAGAAUCCCCUGAUGAUCUCAAACAGACUCUUGCUUAUAGCCUCGCUUCGCUGAAGAUUGUACACAAAUUGGGCAAUAUCCAGUAAUUUUGCGUAAUCUCGCUGAUGAGUGCUCACAUAGUGUCUUAAAUACAUCUCAAUAGGGUUGGCAAUAAAUUCCGGAUCCGGCUCGGAUCCACAAAGAUCCAGAAGAUCCAGAUCUGGAAAAAUCCGGAUCCGCAUGUUAAAAAAUGAGGAUCUGGAUCUUAAAAAUUAAGAUCCGUGUGGAUCCGGAUGCGGAUGCAAGUGCAUCCGGAAAAUCGGAUAUCCGGAUCCGCAUUAUUUUAU
rnacentral:lncRNA from 1 species